ensembl:snRNA U7 U7 small nuclear RNA
UAGUGCUACAGCUCUUUUUAGAAUUUGUCUAGCAAGUUUUCCUGUUUUUACUGAAGCCUUC